rnacentral:lncRNA from 13 species
CUGCUACGUAAAAGAGACGGAGGAAUGCACAAUGGUCAAUGCUAUCUGGGAUCCUUGGGACAUCCCUACCCUAAACCCUACCUUAACCAUUUUAAAUGUCAACUUUAAUGGGUUAGGGACGUCCCAAGGAUGUAUCUACUUGAAAAUAUAUGACCUAAGUGAUUGAUAGUUGGUAUCCAGCAGUCAUAAAGCCUAAUUUACUUUAAUGAACUACUAAAAUAGUGAUUUGGUCAGACAACAGCUCUACACUUUAUGGACUGACUGAUCCAUUCAACCUUCCAUCCCUCUUCAGCCUUCCUCUCCUCUGAAGACCCAGUGAGGGUGGAGCUCAGUCAGAGAGCUGUUGAGGGACUGGUUAGGAAGAACACUUCUUCAGCCAGAGGGGCAGUCAAGAAAUGGAACAGCAAGGCCACAGAACAUGACAUAAUCAGUGCUGUGGGAGACCACCUCAAGCCCCUGGUCGAGCCGGGGGUGGUGUUUACCACUCCACCACGCCUUCAGCAGGCUGGAAAAGUGGGAUUGAUCUGGUUGAUCCAUUUGUUUGUUUCAGUUUCCAGUAGUUGAAUCCUUUGAUGUAUGGUUGAUUUCAAAAUUUUUCAUUUUCAACAAAUGAACUGGGUUGGUUGAAAAGUGAUACUAAAGGUACAUAGCAUGCACUAUUUUGACAUAGUGGGAUAUAUGUUUUUCAUACCAACACAUUUGUUCAUUGGUUUAGCAAGAGUCUGUUGAUUGGUUGUUAAUUUCUUUUGCAAUAUGUUCAAAUCAUGCUUUAUUUAUAUAGCACAUGUUAUGUACGACUCUAGGAGGGAACGCAACACCCUGCUACAACUUUCCCCUUGGAGUGAAAGAGGUAUGGGACUGUAGGUGCGAGUAAGGAUGACAAAGGUAUCGUUUACAGGGAAUUUAUUCCCUCACAUUGUAAUUUUUGGGGAAAGGGGCUGGACGGAAUCAAAGCAAAGCAAGUAAAUAUCAAAGCCCCCUCUCCUACCUUACCUGCCUACCCAACUUAGCACUAACCAAAAUACAGGGUGAUCCGACCAAGUCUUACCUAGUGUCGUGUCUUUAUCAUUAACUGAAGAAAUAUAGUUUUUAUCAAAGAUUCUCUGUAGUUAUUAUGCGAUCAACUGAUUAAUCACGUAACUAAUUAACUAGGAAGUCGGGGCACCAAGGAAUAUAAUAUUCAGAUCACAAAGUUAUUUCCUAAAAUAACUUUUCAGAUAUUUUCUGAUCAAAGUCUUCGAAUUAAUGAAUUAUUUACUUUACCUCACGUUAGUCUCAUUCCAAACGUCAUAAAUUGUUGGUUAUCUGCACGAACCCAGUCUUCACUAUGAGUCAUCCAUACAUCAAUUGUCUUAAAUCAUUUAUUUAUUACUAAGUAAUUCACAGAAAUGCACAAACAAACAAGGCAAAUGUAAUGAAAGAAUGUGCCCUAGUGGCUAAACCGGCAUGGCGGCUUGUUAGACAAAAGGGGAAGUGGGGGUCGACUUAAGAAGUCACUACAGUUAAUGAUUAUAACAAUUGAAAUGCUAAUCCUUUACACAUGAAUGCUCACUCAUUCGGGAACGAUUGCAAUCAAUAUAUAUAUUUACGCUCAGUGUGUAGUCUUGAUCGCUGGUGAAAAGUUUGUGUCUUUUGUAGAAUUGUCCAUCUCUCUCCCUCUCGCGGAUGUGGUUAAAGGGGAUAGUUCAAAGUGACAUUCAUUUGUUAUAGAAUGGAUGUUUCGGUGGUUGUCGUUCUUCGCGUUCAAUGAUACCGAAAUCCUAGCUGCAGACUAGUAAUCAAUAUCAAAGACUUGUUCUUAUUCUGUCGGUAUCGAUAGUCUAAGAGUUUAACCACGUGGUAUGGUUAAAAAGAUUCAGCAAUGGUCGACAACCUUUGUCCUCCUAAUGGAGAAAAACAUGGUCUGCAACUUUUAGCCAUCUCGUAAUUGAGGUAAGCUUGGUCUGCUGAUCGAAAACCCAAGUGGGGUUUUUAUUUGGAAUGGCAAAAAAGGCUGGGAACAAAUGAAAGAAUAAUACAAACUACUUCACAACAAAAACUGAGAAAAAAAACAAACUCAGAACAUUAAAGAGGCUCUCUCUCUCAGCAACAACUAACACAGUACAAACCCUCAGCUCUCUACUGAGCAACAGAACACUGGCUUAUAUAGCUGGAAGGAGUAUAAUGAGAUACAGCUGUAUCCUGACGAGGGGGCGGGGUCAGCUCCAAUUAGCAAU